GAUGAACGCUGGCGGCGUGCCUAAUACAUGCAAGUCGAGCGAACAGACGAGGAGCUUGCUCCUCUGACGUUAGCGGCGGACGGGUGGGUAACACGUGGAUAACCUACCUAUAAGACUGGGAUAACUUCGGGAAACCGGAGCUAAUACCGGAUAAUAUAUUGAACCGCAUGGUUCAAUAGUGAAAGACGGUUUUGCUGUCACUUAUAGAUGGAUCCGCGCCGCAUUAGCUAGUUGGUAAGGUAACGGCUUACCAGGGCAACGAUGCGUAGCCGACCUGAGAGGGUGAUCGGCCACACUGGAACUGAGACACGGUCCAGACUCCUACGGGAGGCAGCAGUAGGGAAUCUUCCGCAAUGGGCGAAAGCCUGACGGAGCAACGCCGCGUGAGUGAUGAAGGUCUUCGGAUCGUAAAACUCUGUUAUUAGGGAAGAACAAAUGUGUAAGUAACUAUGCACGUCUUGACGGUACCUAAUCAGAAAGCCACGGCUAACUACGUG
rnacentral:rRNA from 1 species